AUGUCGCUUCUAGACAGGAGCCUCCAGGACACGGUGGAACAAUCGGUCUCUGAAACGAAUUGCACGGAGAAAAGUAAAGUCACACUAAGUUGUGAGUUGAAAACCACGGAUACGAACCCUUAUGUUUUCUGGUACAAGCAGAUCCUCAUGCGGCCUCCGCACUACCUUCUUCGUAUUAUCGCAGGGCAGCUAGACAGAAAUAGCGACAUCACCGACCGCUUUUCCUCCACUUACGAUAAAUUGACGAAAGUUACAGAGUUAACAAUCGAUGACGCCGUGAUCUCCGACUCGGCCGUGUAUAUCUGUGCCAUGAGCCCCACACUGCUGCAGAGGUAG